UACAGAGGGCGCGAGCGUUGUCCGGAAUCACUGGGCGUAAAGGGCGCGUAGGCGGGAUGGCAAGUCAGUCGUGAAAUCUCUCGGCUCAACCGAGAAACGUCGGCUGAUACUGCCGUUCUUGAGGGAUGCAGAGGAGACUGGAAUUCCCGGUGUAGCGGUGAAAUGUGUAGAGAUCGGGAGGAACACCGGUGGCGAAGGCGGGUCUCUGGGCAUUUCCUGACGCUGAGGCGCGAAAGCGUGGGGAGCAAACGGG
rnacentral:rRNA from 1 species